rnacentral:rRNA from 1 species
AGUGAACGCUGGCGGUAGGCCUAACACAUGCAAGUCGAACGGCAGCACAGUAAGAGCUUGCUCUUACGGGUGGCGAGUGGCGGACGGGUGAGGAAUACAUCGGAAUCUACUUUUUCGUGGGGGAUAACGUAGGGAAACUUACGCUAAUACCGCAUACGACCUACGGGUGAAAGCAGGGGAUCUUCGGACCUUGCGCGAUUGAAUGAGCCGCUGUCGGAUUAGCUAGUUGGCGGGGUAAAGGCCCACCAAGGCGACGAUCCGUAGCUGGUCUGAGAGGAUGAUCAGCCACACUGGAACUGAGACACGGUCCAGACUCCUACGGGAGGCAGCAGUGGGGAAUAUUGGACAAUGGGCGCAAGCCUGAUCCAGCCAUACCGCGUGGGUGAAGGAGGCCUUCGGGUUGUAAAGCCCUUUUGUUGGGAAAGAAAAGCAGCAGGUUAAUACCCCGCUGUUCUGACGGUACCCAAAGAAUAAGCACCGGCUAACUUCGUG